AAAGCAGCAACAACUUCUCCGACACUUUGAUCCAAUUUUGAAACCAUCGCUGGAAUGUUAUUUAAGAAAAAAUUUUCAUCACCUUCAGUUAUUGUGAAAAUUCAAUUUUCAUCAGUCAAGGUCCGAAUUCAAAGAUGCUGUGAAGAAUAGAAAGACUGAUUUUGUAUCGAAGAAUUUCCUGAGGUUCGAACGACUUUUUCUUUUUUUUUGUCAACGAGCAAAUCCUCGGAAGGACCUUGUCCGCUGAUACGAAGAGUUGACGGCCUGGUUCUUGUUAAUUCGAAAUUAUAUUCGAAAUUUUGCCGUUUGAAGAAAAAUAAAUUCUUAGCUUCGGGAGUGUCGCAUUUUAUCUGAAACCGCGAACGUCGUUAGGGAGUUAUUUUUAAAAAGUAAUUUUAUUGUGUUUAAAAAUGUUAUUUAGAAAAUAUUUAGAAAAUAUUCGGGAGUGUUCGAAGUCGAGAGUGUGUUUUUGGAAAAGAAUGUUUAGACAAACCUGGAAGAAAAUAGUGAUGUCGAUUCGGAACUCAGGGAUGGAGAUCGGGCAUUGGCGAUUGCAGUCAAAGGUGAACAAACAAGUUUUUAAUAAUUAUGUUAAAAUUAUUUUUAUGCAAGACGAUUCAAAAAAUAAGGAAUCUAAAUGUUUUAUUUUGAAUUAAUUUAAUAUUUUUUUUUGUUUUCAGACUAAAGCAGAAGGAUCUUAGAUGGAGGUUCUACAGUUGUGGUUCAUCGAUCGGCAAGUCGAUUAAUUUAUUUAUAAUUUCUUAAUUCAUUGAAACCAUUUUCACGCUGCAAAUUUGCGCGUAAGGUUUAUGAAGGAAGCUCCUAUAAUUUUCGUU